rnacentral:misc_RNA from 1 species
UACGUAGGGGGCAAGCGUUGUCCGGGAUUAUUGGGCGUAAAGCGCGCGCAGGCGGUGAUUUAAGUCUUGUGUAUAAUCCCGGAGCUCAACUCCGGGUCGCAUGGGAAACUGGGUCACUUGAGUGCAGAAGAGGAGAGUGGAAUUCCACGUGUAGCGGUGAAAUGCGUAGAUAUGUGGACGAACACCAGUGGCGAAGGCGGCUCUCUGGACUGUAACUGACGCUGAGGCGCGAAAGCGUCGGGAGCAAACAGG